rnacentral:rRNA from 1 species
AUUGAACGCUGGCGGCAUGCCUUACACAUGCAAGUCGAACGGCAGCACGGGAGCAAUCCUGGUGGCGAGUGGCGAACGGGUGAGUAAUAUAUCGGAACGUGCCCAGUCGUGGGGAUAACGUAGCGAAAGCUACGCUAAUACCGCAUACGAUCUAUGGAUGAAAGCGGGGGAUCGCAAGACCUCGCGCGAUUGGAGCGGCCGAUAUCAGAUUAGGUAGUUGGUGAGGUAAAGGCUCACCAAGCCGACGAUCUGUAGCUGGUCUGAGAGGACGACCAGCCACACUGGGACUGAGACACGGCCCAGACUCCUACGGGAGGCAGCAGUGGGGAAUUUUGGGACAAUGGGCGCAAGCCUGAUCCAGCAAUGCCGCGUGCAGGAUGAAGGCCUCGGUGUAACUGCUUUGUAC